rnacentral:rRNA from 1 species
GGUUAAGCGACUAAGCGUACACGGUGGAUGCCCUGGCAGUCAGAGGCGAUGAAGGACGUGCUAAUCUGCGAUAAGCGUCGGUAAGGUGAUAUGAACCGUUAUAACCGGCGAUUUCCGAAUGGGGAAACCCAGUGUGUUUCGACACACUAUCAUUAACUGAAUCCAUAGGUUAAUGAGGCGAACCGGGGGAACUGAAACAUCUAAGUACCCCGAGGAAAAGAAAUCAACCGAGAUUCCCCCAGUAGCGGCGAGCGAACGGGGAGGAGCCCAGAGCCUGAAUCAGUGUGUGUGUUAGUGGAAGCGUCUGGAAAGGCGCGCGAUACAGGGUGACAGCCCCGUACACAAAAAUGCACAUGCUGUGAGCUCGAUGAGUAGGGCGGGACACGUGGUAUCCUGUCUGAAUAUGGGGGGACCAUCCUCCAAGGCUAAAUACUCCUGACUGACCGAUAGUGAACCAGUACCGUGAGGGAAAGGCGAAAAGAACCCCGGCGAGGGGAGUGAAAAAGAACCUGAAACCGUGUACGUACAAGCAGUGGGAGCACGCUUAGGCGUGUGACUGCGUACCUUUUGUAUAAUGGGUCAGCGACUUAUAUUCUGUAGCAAGGUUAACCGAAUAGGGGAGCCGAAGGGAAACCGAG